rnacentral:rRNA from 1 species
GGGCUUGACAUCCCACGAACCUGCCUGAAAGGGCGGGGUGCCCGCAAGGGAGCGUGGAGACAGGUGGUGCAUGGCUGUCGUCAGCUCGUGUCGUGAGAUGUUGGGUUAAGUCCCGCAACGAGCGCAACCCUCACCCCUAGUUGCCACCGGGUAAUGCCGAGCACUCGAGGGGAACUGCCAGCGUCAAGCUGGAGGAAGGCGGGGAUGACGUCAAGUCAUCAUGCCCCUUACGCCCUGGGCUACACACGUGCUACAAUGGCCGGUACAAAGGGAUGCGAGACCGCGAGGUGGAGCCAAUCCCAAAAAGCUGGUCUAAGUUCGGAUUGCAGUCUGCAACUCGACUGCAUGAAGUAGGAAUCGCUAGUAAUCGCGCAUCAGCACGGCGCGGUGAAUACGUUCCCGGGCCUUGUACACACCGCCCGUCACACCACGAAAGCUGUCUGUACUCGAAGUCGCUGAG